AAACCAAAGGCUGGAUGGACACCAGGAAAGUACAAAUAAAUGGGAUCAUAUAAUCCAUUGACUAAGCAAUUAGAAUACAACCCAUGCACCGGUGAGUUCUCAAAUGGUACGUACAACCGUGUAAUAAGGUGGAUGAGAUAGCUGCUGAUCACGAUAUUUGUUGUGAUAUGGG